UACGGGGGGAGCAAGCGUUGUUCGGAUUUACUGGGCGUAAAGGGCGCGUAGGCGGCCAGCGCAAGUCAGUUGUGAAAUCUCCGGGCUUAACUCGGAACGGUCAACUGAUACUGCGCGGCUAGAGUGCGGAAGGGGCAACUGGAAUUCUCGGUGUAGCGGUGAAAUGCGUAGAUAUCGAGAGGAACACCUGCGGCGAAGGCGGGUUGCUGGGCCGACACUGACGCUGAUGCGCGAAAGCGUGGGGAGCAAACAGG
rnacentral:rRNA from 1 species